rnacentral:rRNA from 1 species
GAUGAACGCUGGCGGCGUGCUUAACACAUGCAAGUCGAACGGAAAGGCCCAAGCUUGCUUGGGUACUCGAGUGGCGAACGGGUGAGUAACACGUGGGUGAUCUGCCCUGCACUUCGGGAUAAGCCUGGGAAACUGGGUCUAAUACCGGAUAGGACCACUUCUUGGAUGUUGUGGUGGAAAGUUUUUUCGGUGUGGGAUGAGCUCGCGGCCUAUCAGCUUGUUGGUGGGGUAAUGGCCUACCAAGGCGUCGCCGGGUAGCCGGCCUGAGAGGGUGUACGGCCACAUUGGGACUGAGAUACGGCCCAGACUCCUACGGGAGGCAGCAGUGGGGAAUAUUGCACAAUGGGCGCAAGCCUGAUGCAGCGACGCCGCGUGGGGGAUGACGGCCUUCGGGUUGUAAACUCCUUUCGCUAGGGACGAAGCGUUUUGUGACGGUACCUGGAGAAGAAGCACCGGCUAACUACGUG